GCGGUUGAGCCGCUUCUGCACGUUCUUGGCGAAGAUGCCGGUCUUGAUGUCGGCCAUGGCUGCUGCGGUCCGCGGAGCUGGAAGAGCAGAGCGCGCAGCGGGCCGGCAGCGGCGCGGAGGAGCCUAGGAAGAGGAGGAGGAGGAGCGGGAGGAGGAGCAGCAGAGCCGUGAGGAGCAGAGGAGGCAACGGAUGGAUCUCUCUGACCAUUAAGUGGAGCAAAGACAAAGUGUGGCAAAAAAUGAAGCCAGGUCUGCAGGAGAGGCUCUGCAAUGCCGAAGGGGUCCUGAAAUGGAGGGGCUUGCUACAAAGCUCAGUCCAGCCUGGAAUUAACUAUGAAACUCAGGCUGUCCUCAAACUUUUCAUCUUCCUGCUUAUGACCAGCAAAAACUAUGUGUUAUUUUUUAAAGCAUUCUCACUAUGUGCUUUUAAGUAAUGAAUAAACAUAAUAAACUUUAAAUAA